AGUGCUGAGCGGCGGAGGCUGGCUUGGUUCCUGCUGGGAGGUUCCCACGGUCCAGCCCCAGCCUCGGCUUUCCUGUGACUCUUGUCGCAUCCUCACCGCCAGAAGUUCACUGAGCCCUGGCGAUUCCUCGCUUUUAUAAUCUAGCCACUUAGCCAAAGCCCUCUUUUAUCUCUUGCCGAAUUGACAACUACAGCAGCGCACUGAGGCGAUCUGAGAGUUUAAGUUCUGAAACGCUUUCGACAGCGGAAGAUGAACUGGAGGCAGCAGCUGAGCCGUUUUCCAAGCCCGUUAAAUAAAUUUCCUACGUACAUACAAGCUUACUGUUGAAGUCCUCUCAUCCAAUGCACUCACAACGGGACUGUAAGUCCAGCUGCUGUGUAUCAUCACCUCAGCCCGAUUGGUCCUCGGCCACACCUUCACUUCAGCUUCUGAUAGGUCCUGGGCCAAGCUAAGCAGCAUCUAUGAAUCAUUUCACCUCUUGACUGGUCCCGGGCCAAGCCGAGUCACGCAUUCGCCAAGACAGCCCGCAGACUAAGCACAUGCCUUCCCCUUCCGUCCAUAAAAACCUGGACCCCAGCCUCAUGAUGGGCACUCCCGUUCGGGACCCCCUCUCUGCUGGCAGAGAGCUUUCUUCUUUCACCUUAUUAAACUUUCACUCUAACCUCACCUUUGUGUCCGUGCUCCAUAAUCG